UAUUAUUUUCAACAUAUUUUAUAUGUGGAUGCGGAUAUGUUUCUCUGUUGAAAGCCAGAGCAAUUAUCCAGACUUAGAUAACUGGUGUAUUGAAGUAGAAUAGAAUACCCAGAAUUUUGAACCAAAAGUCCUGAUGACCGAUAAGCUGUGUAUUUUCCCCUCGUUAUUUCAUCUCAUAUGAACAUUAUGCAGAAAUGCAAACAUAAUUGUCAGCUACAGCUAGUAGAAUAGUAGCAGGAUCCUACUCUUGAUGUGCAAUUGAUUUGCUCAACUUUUUUUAGCACGGAAAUAAUGCAAGUUGGAGGGAUGCAAAACAAAGGAAGAUGCGGCUACAUUGCUAACGUCCUGUCCUAUACACAAGUAUUGUGAAAUACACAAAAAAAAACGCAUAAAUUGAAUGAAAGAGAGAGAAUCAAAAGGAAAUUUUUCAUUAGGUUGGGAUUCUUGUUAAUUUCUCUAAAAUCUAUAUGUAUGGUGCCAUUCCUCAAAAGUUUUAUAUGAUUUGGAAAGCUCCGA
rnacentral:lncRNA from 1 species